rnacentral:pre_miRNA from 1 species
CGCUCAUUCUGCCGGUUGUUAUGCUAUUAUCAGAUUAAGCAUCACAACCUCCUAGAAAGAGUAGA